AAAAAAUGUUUAGUGACUUUAUUAAACAAUAUAAUCAGAAAUUUGCUCUUUGCACCAUGUAAAUAGUGAAUCCGCUAUGUAAAGAUCUGUCAUGAAAACAAGAUUACAGCCAGUUUAAAUGUUUAUAUUUCAACAACAAAUUAAAAUAGAAACAUAAUUUUAUCAUAAUUUGUUGAUAUAAAAACAGCCUUAUGUGCAAUUUUUAAUACAACUCAGUUUUUUGAGCAUUAAUUAUUAAAGGGAUAGUUCACCCAAAAAUUAAAAUUCUGUCAUUACUCACCCUCAUGUCGUUCCAAACCCAUAAGACCUUUGUUCAUCUUUGGAACACAAAUGAAGAUAUUUUUGAUUAAAUCCGAGAGAUUUCUAACCCUGCAUAGGCAGCAAUGCAAGUGAAACGUUCCCAAGCCCAGAAAGGUAGUAAGGACAACCUUAAAAUAGUCCAUGUGAAAUCAGUGGUUCAACUGUAAUGUUAUGAUGCUACAAGAAUACUUUUUGUGCACAAGAAAAAAAAAUACUUUAUUCAACUAUUUCUUCUUUUCCGGGUCAGUCUCUGCUGCAAUUCACAAGAGUACCACAACGCAUGUGUGUGCAUUCCUCUGCUUGUAAACAAGGUGCAGCACAUGCAUGUUCUAUGUCAGAACACUGGCUCCUGCGUCAGCAGCAUCACACACAUGCAUAGUGUUACUCUCGGACUUCAGAAUUUCAGUAUAAAAUGAAUUUCAGUACAUCAAAAAAAAUUCUUUAAAUGCAUAAAACGGACAUAAUUAAAAGUUAAAAUUGAAUAAGUUGCACAGCCUAGGUUUUUAAUUUAAAAUUCUAAAUUUUAAUGCUGCUUAUAAGCACUCAUGAUUUGUUGUUUUACAGGUAUCAUAAAUGGAUCACUAAUGCUAUGAAUGUAGCAUAUUGGCUUUGGCAUGGUGUUAAGCUUUUCAUGAUCUUCAUACUCAAAAUUGUACUGUCCUCAAUGAGGAAAGCCCUUGGAGACAUAAUGCUGAGUCUGAUCAGUUUCAUACCUGCACAAGUUCACGAUGAGCAGCAUAGACGCAGAGAGCUGGCUGAGAGACACAUGGCCUCCUCUAAUCUGAACGGUCACGUCUCUGCUGCUUUCCCGUCGAGUCCCUCCAUGGCACAGACCCUCCCAAACCUCUACACACUCCUGAUUUCACUAGAGACAGCAGAGAGCAAGUGGAGAAGACGCAAGAUAGAGGUGCAACACACUUUACAGCAACACGUGACUGAUGUGAAAAGAAAUUAAAAACAUGCAAGCAAUGUGGGAUGGUUAAUGUUACUCAUCACAGAGUUGAUAAAUUGUUUUGUGCUGCUUCAGAUGGAAAAGUUUAAUUGUUUUUUAAAACUAAAUACUAAAUGCAUAUACUAACAUACAACUAGCAAUUGUAGAGGAUAUACAUAUAAAGGAAAAAAAAAAGGAUUUUACUAAAUGUCUAAGGUAACAUAUUAAAAUACUAUUAUUUUAUAUUAUUAUUAUAAAUAUUUUUAAACAUUUACAUUGACCAAGUUUUAUAACAGUACUACUACAUUCUAUUAUUUUUAUCAACAGUAGUAAAAGUAAGAAAAACACAGAUCUGCAAAUAGUUUUGUGGAAAAAAUGAAAACACAUUUAUAAAUAUUAAUCUCAUUUAUGCUGUCAACUUUUCCAGUUUUAAUAAUUUUAACAUUAAGUAUUAUAAAAAAUAAAAAUGCCACUUGUUUAAUUGUGUUUUUUCCUUAAUAUUCUUCUCACACACUUAAAAUGGGCUUUUAUUCAUGAAAAUAUACAGCUGCCUGGCCACCAAAAGGUAUGAAAACCGGUGUCCUGGGACAAUAGAAGCGCAACCAACCAACAAAAGAGCAAUAAUAUGUAAGUGCUGUGACAAGUCUUGGCAAGUAUAAAGCAGUACUUAGCAAACAAAAAAACAGAUAGAAUAGAAUAAGAAUAGAGAACGCUAUUAGAGGGUCAUUUUUUUAUAAUAAAAAGAAAACAAGUAGUUAGAAAAGAAAUAAAAUAGGAAGAUUUUGAAUCAGUUCAGAAUAUAUAGGACACCUGUGUGUGUGUUGUAUGGCCACAGCUGACUAUUAAAGAGGUGGUUAGAUCACAGGACCUGGUUAGAUCAAGCUCUGACUUCAAACUCCAGGAAUCAGUUAAGAUUGAUUAGCAAUGGUGCUCAAUGCACAAUGUGUUUAUACAGGAUGCACUGAAAUGUCAAGGGUGGCUAAUACAGUUCCAGACACCACUUCUGCCAUUCACUAACAAAUGCUGCCAUUAUGUCAUAGCAACCAUUUAUAAAGACAUUAUCUUUCCAAAUGAUACCAAAUGUGAUUUUACUAAACGAUUUUAACACAAUGCCACAAAACAGAGCAUAUCAAAAUGGGGCCUCAAACAUGCAGUCUUAUGAUGCAUCAUCUACAUCAGAACAAACAUCUACUGGUCCUACAACAGAUGCCACCUCCUCAGUUAAAAAGCAUGACAAAUUACAUUUUAUAAACGCCAUAAUAUGCAAGGAGAUGCUCAACCUGAUCUAGCCAAAUAAGACAUAAUAGUUGUGAUUCAAAUCUUACAUUUUAUACCAAAGUGUAAUGUUCUUCAGUGUAGACUAUGGUUCAGAAGUUUGUUCCUGGUUUUGUGUAGCACCUACUACUCUGCAUAUCCUUCUGCUAAUGAGUGCAUGAAGCUUAUUUUAAACAUUGGCUCUCAUCAAUAACUAUGACAAUUGUGAAAUCUGCAGAUGAAUGUUUUCACAAACACGUCAUGAUCCACCAAUAGCUUUCAUUCUAAAAUGUUUUACAUUUACGAAAAAAUGUAGGAACUGAACUAAAGAGCUGAACUGAAACCGCAUGUACACAAAAAUCACAUACUCUGGGUGGCCUUAUAUAUGUGUUAAGAUGAUUUUUUUAUGCAUACAUAUUUUUAAUUGGUUAAAUAGAUUUCACCAAAUACAGUGAAAGUGUCAAAAAAGCUGCAUUACUGCUUGAGUUGCAAUGUUCCUCUGCAUAAAAAUGCAGAUAUGCGCAUGUACACCUAGCUAAUAUCCUUUCUUCUUCGUGACAAGUGUGUGUGAGAAAUGGAAGUGCUGUGGUGUGUGUUCUGGGGUAUUUCUGCUUUUCUGUAACCACUGCCUACUGCCUGGGAGUGAAUGUGCAUUUUCACUCUGCCCGUCUGCCAUGUUUACACAUUGGGCUGAACAGACAAAUCACAUGAGGAAAUUAGCGUUUUUGUUUCCUAAUUGUUAAUGUAUCAUUGGACCAAACAACUGUGUAUGUGAAUCAUUUCUUGUUUGUAGUGAGUGUGGACUCCUGUAAUACAUACUUUGAGAAGGUGUCAGAAGAAUUGGAGUUGAUUGUGAAGGAGAUUCAGUUCAGUCCAAAAGAAGAUUCUGCUCCGCUAAAAUAUAUAUUUAAUGAAAAUAUAUAUAAAAUAUAAUGGUUUUUUUUUUAUUUAAUUUUCUCCUUAGGUUCACUUAUAAUGUUAGUACUCGUCAGAUUUUCCACCCUCUCUUUAGAAUUAAAUGGGCCAUAUUUGUUCAUAUGUGAAAUAAGCAAUUGAGAGGUUAGUUGUUAGAAAACAACAAGAAAUAUAUAUAAAUAUAAUUGGUUUUUUUUUAUUUAAUUUUCUCCUUAGGUUCACUUAUAAUGUUAGUACUCGUCAGAUUUUCCACCCUCUCUUUAGAAUUAAAUGGGCCAUAUUUGUUCAUAUGUGAAAUAAGCAAUUGAGAGGUUAGUUGUUAGAAAACAACAAUUAGCACACCACAUGUAGCGCAUGAUGUAAGACUCUCCACAUGAUGGAGCUGUUUAUUCAAAUUUAAUUUUCCCUACAUAGAAGAGGCUCCAAUGGUUUCCUCUCCUGUUGCCUGACAGCCAUAAUUGCAUCUUUGUUUACCUGUAUUGGAUUAUUGAGAGAGUUCAUUUUUCUUUGAGCAUUGAUAGUAAAUUUAAGAGGUGUUUUUUUUUUUUCUUCAAUCUUCUGAAUGAAAAGAAACUAAUUUGCAUUGCAGAAAAGAUGUAGGUUAUGUUAGGCUACAUACCGCACAUUAAUACUUACGGUUAUGGUUUUGUUUAAAUAGUGGAUUCAUUGUAUUCAUGUUAUCACAUGACUUUCCACAUGUUUUCAUUAAAGCUUCUCUAAUUGUUCUCUACAGCAUGCCUUAUAUUAAAUAUCUGGUUAUUUAAUUCUCUUUAAACAAACAAGUCCAUCAUCACAGGUUCUUCAGGCUCUUGAAGUGUCCAUGAACUCAGUAUCACAGUGUCUGCUUUAAAAUCCACUCUAAAACUAAUUGGAAAUAAUCAAUGAAAUAUUU
rnacentral:lncRNA from 1 species